GAUGAACGCUGGCGGCGUGCCUAAUACAUGCAAGUCGAGCGAACAGACGAGGAGCUUGCUCCUUUGACGUUAGCGGCGGACGGGUGAGUAACACGUAGGUAACCUACCUAUAAGACUGGGAUAACUUCGGGAAACCGGAGCUAAUACCGGAUAAUAUUUCGAACCGCAUGGUUCGAUAGUGAAAGAUGGCUUUGCUAUCACUUAUAGAUGGACCUGCGCCGUAUUAGCUAGUUGGUAAGGUAACGGCUUACCAAGGCAACGAUACGUAGCCGACCUGAGAGGGGGAUCGGCCACACUGGAACUGAGACACGGUCCAGACUCCUACGGGAGGCAGCAGUAGGGAAUCUUCCGCAAUGGGCGAAAGCCUGACGGAGCAACGCCGCGUGAGUGAUGAAGGGCUUCGGAUCGUAAAACUCUGUUAUGAGGGAAGAACAAACGUGUAAGUAACUGUGCACGUCUUGACGGUACCUAAUCAGAAAGCCACGGCUAACUACGU
rnacentral:rRNA from 1 species